UACGUAGGGUGCAAGCGUUGUCCGGAAUCAUUGGGCGUAAAGAGCGUGUAGGCGGCCCGAUUAGUCCGCUGUGAAAGUCCAGGGCUCAACCCUGGAAUGCCGGUGGAUACUGUCGGGCUAGAGUCCGGAAGGGGCGAGUGGAAUUCCUGGUGUAGCGGUGAAAUGCGCAGAUAUCAGGAGGAACACCAAUGGCGAAGGCAGCUCGCUGGGACGUGACUGACGCUGAGACGCGAAAGCGUGGGGAGCAAACAGG
rnacentral:rRNA from 1 species